UACAGAGGGUGCGAGCGUUGUCCGGAAUCACUGGGCGUAAAGGGCGCGUAGGUGGCCCGACAAGUCUGUGGUGAAAGCUCGACGCUCAACGUCGAGUCGGCCAUAGAUACUGUUGGGCUGGAGCACUGUAGAGGCUCAUGGAAUUCCGGGUGUAGCGGUGGAAUACGUAGAGAUCCGGAAGAACACCGGUGGCGAAGGCGGUGAGCUGGGCAGUUGCUGACACUGAGGCGCGACAGCGUGGGGAGCAAACAGG
rnacentral:rRNA from 1 species